rnacentral:rRNA from 1 species
AAAAACGACUCUCGGCAACGGAUAUCUCGGCUCACGCAUCGAUGAAGAACGUAGCAAAAUGCGAUACUUGGUGUGAAUUGCAGAAUCCCGUGAAUCAUCGAGUUUUUGAACGCAAGUUGCGCUCAAAACCAUCCGGUUGAGGGCACGCCUGCCUGGGCGUC